rnacentral:rRNA from 1 species
AUUGAACGCUGGCGGCAUGCCUUACACAUGCAAGUCGAACGGUAACGGGCCUUCGGGUGCCGACGAGUGGCGAACGGGUGAGUAAUGUAUCGGAACGUACCUUUCAGUGGGGGAUAACGUAGCGAAAGUUACGCUAAUACCGCAUAUUCUGUGAGCAGGAAGGCAGGGGAUCGCAAGACCUUGCGCUGAUUGAGAGGCCGAUAUCAGAUUAGCUAGUUGGUGAGGUAAAGGCUCACCAAGGCGACGAUCUGUAGCGGGUCUGAGAGGAUGAUCCGCCACACUGGAACUGAGACACGGUCCAGACUCCUACGGGAGGCAGCAGUGGGGAAUUUUGGACAAUGGGGGCAACCCUGAUCCAGCCAUGCCGCGUGAGUGAAGAAGGCCUUCGGGUUGUAAAGCUCUUUCGGCCGGGAAGAAAUCGCACGGGCUAAUACCCUGUGUGGAUGACGGUACCGGAAUAAGAAGCACCGGCUAACUACGUGCCAGCAGCCGCCGUAAAAC